GCUGUCGCCGGCCCCGCUGCGUGAUGGCCACGUUAUCUCAUGUGGAGGCAGGAGGGGAAAUGAUAAGGCUCAGAUGGUGCCAUUCGUGGUCCUCAACAAGCCGUGCAAGUGUGAGUCCCUUUGAAGUUUACUUGUGACCCUGCUGAGAUCAAUACCCUGGGCUGGCAAAGAGGAGAGAGAGAAUCAGAAACCUGGGGAAAAGGACUUUGAAAAGAAUAGGGGGAAGUUUGAAAAGGCUUAGGAUAGAAAUGUUACCUCCCAGCCCCAGGAGCCUGGCACUGGACUAGCCAGCCUCCAGAGAGCCAAACACGCAUAGAUGGGCUGUGAUUGAACCCCCCCCCUUCUUGUGUUUUGCUGCUGCGGUUUGAAAUCAACUAUAUUUGCUUUCAGAAGAACUGUUUUUUCUUUCUGUGGUCGCAUGUGUACCCCAAUCUUGCUGGGAAGCAGCAGAACGGGCACCCCAGGACCUGGUCUGAUGAACGGGGGGUGCCCCGAGGUCUCCCCCAUCAUGUGUCCCCAGCACAACAGAUCUGGACCUUGCCAGCUGCCUGGCAAGAUUUGGCAGGGCUCAUCUGCUGGAGCCCCCAGACAGAUGGGGAGGGUCAAAGGUACCGCUAGCCUCGCACCGAGCUGCCCUCAGCAAUGCGGAUGUGAACAGCAUUGCAACACCAGUUAGAAGAAUUUGAAGGGUCAAAUUCCUUUGGAGCAUAACAUCGUUGAACUCGGUCGUCUUAGACCUCCAGCAUAUUUGGAGCAGUGUUUUGGAAGGCUGAUACCUUACCACGGACCUGUUUAAAGGAGUUAAUGUGUGACCGGCUACAAACCAUCUGGAGCAGACAGAUGGCCUGCCCUGUUGGAGCUGGUUUCAGCAGCUGGGACCCUGGGCGGUUCUCAGCGAUGCUGAUGUGAAUCCAGAAGCAAGCAACUGAGGGGAGAAGGAUUGCAGUUGCUUGCAUCAUCUGCAGAGCAGAAUUAGGCCUUUUUUCUGCAAAUUUCCAGCAGGAUUACUACCCAGGGCUUUCUCUAGAUAUGUACGUCCAUAUUCUGAAAUGCAGCCAACAUCCCGUUACUAAAAUAAACCCCACAAAUGUACCGUGUCUGGAACCAUUGCGAUUAAGAGCUACCAAAUAAGAAAAAUGUCAGAACACAAUGGAUUUAUGUCAAAGGCUCAACUGUUUGAAGAGUGUCCAUUUCUUUGAAGAGACCUUGCUGCUGGCUGAUGUCCAGAUACCGUGAAAAAUCCACUCCCCCUCAGUGCAAUCUGGAGUUCAGAAUACAACUAAAUUAAAAACUAAAGAGCCUUUUGCAAUCACAUCAGUUUUUAUUUAAGCACCGCAUCAGAGGAUGAGAUUAUCAGAACCGUCAGUGGAUACAGCGCACGGAUAUGGGGCUUGUCAACAGGGAGAACAAACCGGAAUAGCCGUCUUAAGAUAGCUGCCCUCUCGUGAUGGUCUGACUGCAAAGAAAGUUACUGUAUUGUGGAGUAAUAAGUGCCUUAGCAAAACAUGCUAAUGAUUUUAUAGUGAUCCUUACUGCAGGGUAGCCUCUCUACUGGGUACACAGGGACAGUUUUUCUUUUUAACCCCAAAUAAGUGUUCUCAAGUCCAUCUGCGGAUUGAUGUGGCUUCCUUGGAUCCAGGAGGAUCGGUGUCCCACUGCUGCCUGCGUCUCCAAGCUUUUUAAUUCCAGUCUCUCAAGUUGGUUCUCAAAUGGGCAUCCUGAAUCCAUGAUUCUGCUGUGGAGCCUGCGCAUGGACAGACAUCCACCCACAACGGGAGCCCUGCAAGCGUUCGCAUGGUUUAACCUCAGUUUAGUCACACCUCACGUUGGGAUGUUGUUCGCGUGUGAGAGCGGAAGGUGCGUGUUUGCACGCUGAGACAUUUGCCGGUGAGGGCAGGCGGGUCAAGGCUCUGCGGCACGGACACACGGACAUCAGUCCGAAGCGGCUGAGGAUCCAUGCUGCAGUGAGUUCUGC